rnacentral:lncRNA from 1 species
UAGAAGCUCACCCAGAGAUCAAGAAACUGAUGGUGGUGGAUCAUCGCUUCAAAUACCACGUCAUACUUCUAGUUAUCCUCCAACUUCUAGUAGUCCCCCUAAUCCCCCAUCUUUCGUGGACGAAAUUUUUCCUUCUGCUGUAUUUCUACGGCGCGGUCAUAAACCACGCGGUCCUGGACGCCAUCCACGAGAUCUCGCACAACAUGGCGUACGGUAACGCGAAACCAUUCCACAACCGCCUUUUCGGGAUGUUCGCAAACCUGCCCACGGCAAUACCGGUCAGCGUCACUUUCAAACGUUAUCAUCAAGAUCAUCAUCGUUUCCAAGGCGACAAGGAUUGGGAUCCAGACCUCCCAACCGAGUGGGAAGGACAAUUCUUCACGAACAGCUUCACAAAGGCAAUCUAUGUCGGGCUUAUCCCGGUAUUCUAUAGCCUACGACCCCUCUUCGUCAACCCAAAGAGUCCCACCAUACUCGAGUUUUUAAAUUAUGUAACCCAACUCUCCUUUGAUGCUGUUGUUUAUUACUUCUUCGGGAUAAAACCUCUGGUCUAUAUGGUCCUCAGCAGUUUAAUCGGCACAGGCUGGCACCCGUUAGGAGC